ACGCCCGGUCGUACUCAUAACCGCAUCAG
rnacentral:snRNA from 1 species